rnacentral:rRNA from 1 species
AGCCAGGAUGUUGGCUUAGAAGCAGCCAUCAUUUAAAGAAAGCGUAAUAGCUCACUGGUCGAGUCGGCCUGCGCGGAAGAUGUAACGGGGCUAAACUAUGCACCGAAGCUGCGGCAGCGACACUAUGUGUUGUUGGGUAGGGGAGCGUUCUGUAAGCCUGUGAAGGUGUGUCGUGAGGCAUGCUGGAGGUAUCAGAAGUGCGAAUGCUGACAUAAGUAACGAUAAAGCGGGUGAAAAGCCCGCUCGCCGGAAGACCAAGGGUUCCUGUCCAACGUUAAUCGGGGCAGGGUGAGUCGACCCCUAAGGCGAGGCCGAAAGGCGUAGUCGAUGGGAAACGGGUUAAUAUUCCCGUACUUGGUGUUACUGCGAAGGGGGGACGGAGAAGGCUAUGUUGGCCGGGCGACGGUUGUCCCGGUUUAAGCGUGUAGGUGUGUGUUCCAGGUAAAUCCGGUUCACUUUAACACUGAGGCGUGAUGACGAGGCACUACGGUGCUGAAGCAACAAAUGCCCUGCUUCCAGGAAAAGCCUCUAAGCAUCAGGUAACAUCAAAUCGUACCCCAAACCGACACAGGUGGUCAGGUAGAGAAUACCAAGGCGCUUGAGAGAACUCGGGUGAAGGAACUAGGCAAAAUGGUGCCGUAACUUCGGGAGAAGGCACGCUGACACGUAGGUGAAGUGAUUUACUCAUGGAGCUGAAGUCAGUCGAAGAUACCAGCUGGCUGCAACUGUUUAUUAAAAACACAGCACUGUGCAAACACGAAAGUGGACGUAUACGGUGUGACGCCUGCCCGGUGCCGGAAGGUUAAUUGAUGGGGUCAGCGCAAGCGAAGCUCCUGAUCGAAGCCCCGGUAAACGGCGGCCGUAACUAUAACGGUCCUAAGGUAGCGAAAUUCCUUGUCGGGUAAGUUCCGACCUGCACGAAUGGCGUAAUGAUGGCCAGGCUGUCUCCACCCGAGACUCAGUGAAAUUGAACUCGCUGUGAAGAUGCAGUGUACCCGCGGCAAGACGGAAAGACCCCGUGAACCUUUACUAUAGCUUGACACUGAACAUUGAGCCUUGAUGUGUAG